UACGUAGGGUGCAAGCGUUAAUCGGAAUUACUGGGCGUAAAGCGUGCGCAGGCGGCUUUGCAAGACAGAUGUGAAAUCCCCGGGCUCAACCUGGGAACUGCAUUUGUGACUGCAUCGCUGGAGUGCGGCAGAGGGGGAUGGAAUUCCGCGUGUAGCAGUGAAAUGCGUAGAUAUGCGGAGGAACACCGAUGGCGAAGGCAAUCCCCUGGACCUGUACUGACGCUCAUGCACGAAAGCGUGGGGAGCAAACAGG
rnacentral:rRNA from 1 species